GACAGUGUGGUAUAGUGGUUUGAGCAUUGGACUACUACUCUAGAGACCAGGGCUCAAAUCCCUGCUCAGCCA